GAAGACUGAGAGGAUUGCAGUAACUAUUCUUAUCAUACAUGUGGGAGUUCUCCCUGUGCACUUCCUCUACAAAAUCAGUGGCUCCAACCACAUCUUGAGAAAUUUUUUACAAAAUGUGUUCGAUCUGACACACUGCCUGGCAAAGGCAUAGAAGAAUCUAAGGUUGAUCUUAGAAACACCAUCGCCCUUUUCCUUCACCUCAGAACACUUCUUUGAAGACACUGAAGUCUCCCAAAACAGGAGCUCCUGCCCCACCGAAGGCCCAGAGAUCUGCUAUACAGAUGCUCAAUGCAAAGCUUUGCUGAUCAAGGAAGAACCUGAGAAAUACCACACACUGUAUCUGAUGCUCCAAGAAUCCCCAUGCAUGUUAGCAGGUUAAAGAAUCUUAAACAUUUACAAGCGUCGCAUUGGGUCCAGGAGCCUUCCCCAUGCCAGCCUGCAGGACUGGAAGGAGCUCACAGACAGCUGCUUUGAAAGUUACUUCUUUAACUACAAGGACACGAUGUUGCUUUUCAUUUCUUUAAAAUGCCUGUUCAUGCCUGGCUCAGUGGUUGAGCACUGAGCACAUGCCUGGGUUGUG